rnacentral:lncRNA from 1 species
CGAAAGAAAUGGACGGUGAGGCAGCAAAACCACCAAGCUUUGGAGACGAUGAGAACACCCGCAAGCGCAUGUGAGUAAUAUUUUCAAGUCCAACAAUGUCAUUCCCACUUAACUUUUGUACCUUAAAUAACUAUUUUCCAUGUUUUUUAUUCUUCCAUCUUUGGUUAUUUUUUUGAAUUAUCUGCAAACUAUCUUCUGCUUAUCUGUUACUUGGUUUUAAAAUAAAGUUUUUUUAAUAAAGGGAACGUGCAGAAGAGGUCUUCUGUCGCUUGCACUGGUUGCAGCAGGAGAUUGGAAAAAUCCAAGACUUCACUACAGUGCAAUAGAUGUGUUUCACCAAACGUCACUGGAGUCAUCAGGUACAGAAUAAUCAUACUCACUCGAAGGUAGAACAAUCCAAAAGUAUCAACAAACGUCACCACUUCACGCACUUUUACCAGGUUCCAUGUCGAGUAGCCUUUAGAUUAUGGCUACGAAAAUGCUGUAUUUGUGGUGUCUGACACGGAGAUGACCAAACAGACCAAGAAAGAUGCAGCCACAAUGGCUCUUGAGGAGGUUAGCUUCCACCCCAGCACUCCAUUCAUCUUAUAUUUUUAAAAUGGUUAAGGUUGUUCUCAUUGACUCACUAAACUUAAACCUAUUUUAAUUUCACCCCCAACCACUGAACCUUCACCGUCUCUUCAAUCACUGAAGAUGUGGCUCUCAACACACAUUCAGAGGUUGGCUAAUAUAAGUUUUAAUUGAAUUAUUGUCUGGGGAGCUCUAAAACAAAAUACAUGCAAAACUGUUUUUCAGGUUGCAAGCAGCAGCAAAGCACCACAGGUGUACGACUAAUCGGAACAACCACCAGCAUCUGGCAACUUCACAUGUGAUGCAUACACGAAAGAAAUGGACGGUGAGGCAGCAAAACCACCAAGCUUUGGAGACGAUGAGAACACCCGCAAGCGCCUGUGAGUAAUAUUUUCAAGUCCAACAAUGUCAUUCCCACUUAACUUUUGUACCUUAAAUAACUAUUUUCCAUGUUUUUUAUUCUUCCAUCUUUGGUUAUUUUUUUGAAUUAUCUGCAAACUAUCUUCUGC